CCUACGGGUGGCAGCAGUAGGGAAUAUUGCUCAAUGGGGGAAACCCUGAAGCAGCAACGCCGCGUGGAGGAUGAAGGUUUUCGUAUUGUAAACUCCUAUUGUCAGAGAAGAAAAUGACGGUAUCUGACGAAUAAGCACCGGCUAACUCCGUGCCAGCAGCCGCGGUAAUACGGAGGGUGCAAGCGUUACUCGGAUUUACUGGGCGUAAAGAGCGCGUAGGCGGGAUAGCAAGUCAGAUGUGAAAUCCUAAGGCUUAACCAUAGAACUGCAUUUGAAACUGUUAUUCUAGAGUAUGGGAGAGGUAAGGGGAAUGCUUGGGGGAGGGGGAAAAUCGGGAGAGAUCAAGAGGAAUACUCAUUGCGAAGG
rnacentral:rRNA from 1 species